AUAAUGGGCCUAUCCUCGAAUCAGAUGUUAUUUUUUAAAAAAGCUCAGAUUAUACAUAGUUGGAUCCUGAAAAGCCGAAUCACAAAAAUAAUAUGGGCUUUACUUUUGAAAACUAAAAAAGCCCAAUAUCUUGAAAAAUGAUUUAACAUGCAUAAGCGCCACCUUGUGUCGAAAGGUGGAGUAGGCUCUGUUUAGACGACAAUAAAUUUUAUUGAGUGCUGCUGAUUGUGAAUUUUGAAUCUUUAAAGUUAUAUUUUUGUUAUUAACUUGUCGAGGCCUUUGAGCACUAACAAAAUUGGAGUUCCAGCUCACCCACUGGCCCACUAGGCGUUAUUACGUUAACGAAAUUUCCAACGGUCAAAAAUAGUUUUCCUUUUUUCAAUGGGGAUAGUUUGGUUCAAAAAAAAAGGUCGAAUUUUGUUUUUUGGGUAUGACGAUCAUAAGCAAAAGCAAAGGAUGUCUUCAAGAGAUCAAAUCAACUUGCGCCGACUCCAACACUCUGUUUUCAAAAGGUAUUUUUCUUCCUUAUCUAUG